rnacentral:lncRNA from 1 species
GCGAACGAGGAACUCUAUCAAAUCUAUUUAAGUCAAUUCACCAUUUGAUUACCAGACUCAUCAAGUGUAAUUAUCGUUGUAAUAGGCCCAAUUUGCCCGGGCCCAAAAACACAAACAAAAAAAUAAAUCAAAUAUAAAAACAAAUAAAAUUAAAAUGCCAUUAUUGAACAGUCCAGUUUUUUUACAGACCAAGUUAAAUUAAGCCCAAACCCGAUUACAAAAUCCAAAUACCCAAUGAACCCCAACACCAGCCCUAUGCCCAGCCCAAAUCAAGGUCGAAACCCUAGCAGUCUCUGAAACAGAAGCAGACUCCAGCGCCGUAGCCAAG